rnacentral:rRNA from 1 species
AGCAGCCGCGGUAAUUCCAGCUCCAAUAGCGUAUAUUAAAGUUGUUGCAGUUAAAAAGCUCGUAGUUGAAUUUUGGGUUUGGCCGAUUGGUCCGUUCUUGUAACGAGUACUGGUCGGUUGGGCCUCACCGCUUGGUGAUGCGUAAUGCCCUUUAUUGGGUGUUGCGAGUAGCCAAGACCUUUACCUUGAAAAAAUUAGAGUGUUUAAAGCAGGCAUAUGCCGGAAUACAUUAGCAUGGAAUAAUAGAAUAGGACAACGAUUCUAUUUUGUUGGUUUCUAGGACCGUUGUAAUGAUUAAUAGGGAUAGUUGGGGGCAUUAGUAUUCAAUUGUCAGAGGUGAAAUUCUUGGAUUUAUUGAAGACUAACUACUGCGAAAGCAUUUGCCAAGGAUGUUUUCAUUAAUCAAGAACGAAAGUUAGGGGAUCGAAGACGAUCAGAUACCGUCGUAGUCUUAACCAUAAACUAUGCCGACUAGGGAUCGGGCGAAGUUGUUUCAAUGACUCGCUCGGCACCUUAUGGG